UCCGUAGGCGGGCAAUUAAGUCAGAGGUGAAAUCCCACAGCUCAACUGUGGAACUGCCUUUGAUACUGAUGAUCUUGAGUUUUAGUGAAGUAGAUAGAAUGUGUAGUGUAGCGGUGAAAUGCAUAGAUAUUACACAGAAUACCGAUUGCGAAGGCAGUCUACUAACUAACAACUGACGCUAAUGGACGAAAGCGUGGGGAGCGAACAGGAUUAGAUACCCUGGUAGUCC
rnacentral:rRNA from 1 species